UUACCUCUUAGGGUUUCCUCUGGGGUAAGUGAUUGCUUCUACACUGUGAAAAUUUGGCUGAGAGACUCAGACUGGUCAUGGGUAGACCUAUCUGGGGUUUGAUCGAUGCCACUCCUGGUUUCAGGAGCACCCUUCAUAAUAAACCUAGAAAUUCAGUAUUAUAAAGUUUAAUAAAAAACAACUUUUAACAAUGGAUCUCUUGGUUCUCGCAUCGAUGAAGAACGUAGCAAAGUGCGAUAACUAGUGUGAAUUGCAUAUUCAGUGAAUCAUCGAGUCUUUGAACGCAGCUUGCACUCUAUGGUUUUUCUAUAGAGUACGCCUGCUUCAGUAUCAUCACAAACCCACACAUAACAUUUGUUUAUGUGGUAAUGGGUCGCAUCGCUGUUUUAUUACAGUGAGCACCUAAAAUGUGUGUGAUUUUCUGUCUGGCUUGCUAGGCAGGAAUAUUACGCUGGUCUCAGGAUCUUUUUCUUUGGUUCGCCCAGGAAGUAAAGUACAAGAGUAUAAUCCAGCAACUUUCAAACUAUGAU
rnacentral:rRNA from 1 species